CAUAUAUAACAUGUUGUGUUGUUUUUGAAAAACAUGCCGUCCACCGAAAGAAAUAAAACGUUUUAUUCGAUGAAAGCUUUUGUUAACAUGGAUGCUGCUAUGCUUUUUUUGAAGAGUUUUUUGAUUUUACUUUGUUUUGUGAACUCAGUUCUUUAUAAUCAUUUGUAUUUUAGAUAUAACUGAAAAUAAAAUAAUCUUCAUUUUCCACAAUAAAGAUGCCUCGUUAAACAGACCCGGUCAAAAAGCUUUUUCUAAAAACCACAGGUAAAACAACCAACUCAUACAGUUGCAAAUAUUGUGGAAAAGGUUAUUCCAAGAAUACACAUAAUUUACUGGUUCAUAUUUAUAAAUGCAGUAAAAUACCAGAAGAAUUAAGAAAUGCUGUUGUUAAAGAAAAAAUAGCAGAAAAAAAAACACAUCAAAACUUUAAGUAAGACUCCAUCAUGAAAAGAAAUUACGAGAUCAAGUAUUGAAAGCAUAGAUGCAAUAACAGUUGAUAUAACAGAGUUAAAAGAAUUGUCUUCAUCUUCUGUUCAAUCGGUUUUUCGUCUAAAAAAUCAAAAAGUCGAUGAAAUGUUUAUUGCAUUGGAACAAAAACAAGAGAGAGCCAAUUAUUCAUGUGGUUUUACUACACCUGAACCUGUGCUUUACAGGAGUAUUUGCCCUGGUACCCAGCCACAAACAGGUGCCUACAUGGCAGAGAUUAUUAUUAAUUGUUUUUUGGUAAUUUGUUUGCUGGUAAUGCUAUAACACUUGGAACUGUAUUAUCUAACAUAGCUUGGCUAUGUCGGAUAUAAAAUUAGCCCUUGAUAACUUUAUAUCUAAAACAGGGUUGACAGAUUUAGAAUGUGUGGAAAUGCAAAAUUAUUUUACGUUAAGAAAAGAAAUGUCUGUCACAAACCUUCACUUAGCUGCAAAACUUGCUUGAUCCGCAAAUAAAAGGUUCAAUCCUAUCUGGUUCAGAAUUUUUGGAAGCAAUGGAAUAUACAGAAAUUUUAGCAAAAAAUUUGUCUAUAAAUAAUAAUGUUGACUUGUCAGUUAUUGCAAAAGAUAUUACCCAGUUUGUAAAUUCUACUGGACUGUGGGCAUAUAGCUAUGUUGAGCAACUUGCUAGAAAUCAAGAUUCUAUAACAUAUUGGCAAGCUCUAAAAAAAUCUAGUCCACUUGUUGAUUUGGCUAUUAAAAUUUUAUUGAUGCCAUCUUCAGCUGCUACUGAAAGAACUUUUAGUACUAGAGGCUUUAUCCACAGAAAACUUCGAAAUUCUCUAACUAAUGAAAGAGCUAGUAGGUUGACUUACGUAAAACAAAACUAUAUGCUGAUGAAUUUAAACCUAAAAGGUCAAUUGCAAGAUUUUAAAAGUUCAUUUAGCAACCCAAAGAAGUAAAAAAUUAGUUUGUCCUCGCUAAUCAUGCACAUAUUGAUGGCAGUGAUUACGAGGAUACAACACGAUCAGAAGGAGAAAGCAAUGAAAGUGAGUCUGAGGAAGAUAUAGAUUUUGUGUCAGAUUCCUCUUUGAGAACAACAUCGAAAUAUGAAUUGAACCAAGUAGACUUCCAAUGGCCAGAGAUAAAAGAGUAUAUCGUUAAAAAAGUGGAACAUGAGAACGAACAAGUCUGAAAUGUUUUAUUUUAUAAAAUUUUUAGAUUUUAUUUUGAAAGAUGAUAUUUUUUAUUGAUAAUAUGAUAUUAUGAUAUUUUAUUUUAAAAGAUGAUAUUUAA